AUUGAACGCUGGCGGCAGGCCUAACACAUGCAAGUCGAGCGAGCGGCGGACGGGUGAGUAAUGUAUGGGGACUGCCCGUUAGCGGGGGAAACCUCGUGGAAACGGUAGCUACUACCGCAUACUAUCGGAUAACCCAUAUGGGAUUAGCUAGUAGGUGAGGUAAUGGCUCACUGAGGCGACGAUCCCUGGCUGGUCUGAGAGGAUGAUCAGCCACACUGGGACUGAGAAACGGCCCAGACUCCUACGGAGGCAGCAGUGGGGAAUAUUUCACAAUGGGCGCAAGCCUGAUGCAGCCAUGCCGCGUGUAUGAAGAAGUCCCUAGGGUUGUAAAGUACUUUCAGUCGGGAGGCGUUACCGACAGAAGAAGCACCGGCUAACUCCGUGCCAGCAGCCGUGGUAAUUC
rnacentral:rRNA from 1 species